rnacentral:rRNA from 1 species
UACGUAGGCGGUCUAUUAAGUCAGAUGUGAAAGCCCCGGGCUUAACCUGGGAACUGCAUUUGAUACUGGUAGACUAGAGUAUGGUAGAGGGGGUAGAAUUCCUAGUGUAGCGGUGAAAUGCGUAGAUAUUAGGAGGAAUACCAGUGGCGAAGGCGGUCUCCUGGACCAAUACUGACGCUGAGGUACGAAAGCGUGGGUAGCGAACA